UGGUGGGUAGUUUGACUGGGGCGGUCUCCUCCUAAAGAGUAACGGAGGAGCACGAAGGUUGGCUAAUCCUGGUCGGACAUCAGGAGGUUAGUGCAAUGGCAUAAGCCAGCUUGACUGCGAGCGUGACGGCGCGAGCAGGUGCGAAAGCAGGUCAUAGUGAUCCGGUGGUUCUGAAUGGAAGGGCCAUCGCUCAACGGAUAAAAGGUACUCCGGGGAUAACAGGCUGAUACCGCCCAAGAGUUCAUAUCGACGGCGGUGUUUGGCACCUCGAUGUCGGCUCAUCACAUCCUGGGGCUGAAGUAGGUCCCAAGGGUAUGGCUGUUCGCCAUUUAAAGUGGUACGCGAGCUGGGUUUAGAACGUCGUGAGACAGUUCGGUCCCUAUCUGCCGUGGGCGCUGGAGAACUGAGGGGGGCUGCUCCUAGUACGAGAGGACCGGAGUGGACGCAUCACUGGUGUUCGGGUUGUCAUGCCAAUGGCACUGCCCGGUAGCUAAAUGCGGAAGAGAUAAGUGCUGAAAGCAUCUAAGCACGAAACUUGCCCCGAGAUGAGUUCUCCCUGAGACUUAGAGUCUCCUGAAGGAACGUUGAAGACGACGACGUUGAUAGGCCGGGUGUGUAAGCGCAGCGAUGCGUUGAGCUAACCGGUACUAAUGAACCGUGAGGCUUAACCUUACAA
rnacentral:rRNA from 6 species